rnacentral:rRNA from 1 species
GACGAACGCUGGCGGCGUGCUUAACACAUGCAAGUCGAACGGUGAAGCGCCUUCCUUUUUGGUGGGUGUGGAUGAGUGGCGAACGGGUGAGUAACACGUGAGUAACCUGCCCCCUUCUUCUGGAUAACCGCAUGAAAGUGUGGCUAAUACGGGAUAUUCUGGGUCUGUCGCAUGAUGGGUCUGGGAAAGAUAUUGUUUCGGUGGGGGAUGGGCUCGCGGCCCAUCAGCUUGUUGGUGGGGUGAUGGCCUACCAAGGCGGUAACGGGUAGCCGGCCUGAGAGGGUGGACGGUCACACUGGGACUGAGACACGGCCCAGACUCCUACGGGAGGCAGCAGUGGGGAAUAUUGCACAAUGGGCGCAAGCCUGAUGCAGCGACGCCGCGUGAGGGAUGGAGGCCUUCGGGUUGUGAACCUCUUUCGCCAGUGAAGCAGGCCUGCCUCGUUUGUGGGUGGGUUGACGGUAGCUGGAGAAGAAGCGCCGGCUAACUACGUG